rnacentral:rRNA from 1 species
GACGAACGCUGGCGGCGUGCUUAACACAUGCAAGUCGAGCGAUGAAGCUCCUUCGGGAGUGGAUUAGCGGCGGACGGGUGAGUAACACGUGGGUAACCUGCCUCAUAGAGGGGAAUAGCCUUCCGAAAGGAAGAUUAAUACCGCAUAAGAUUGUAGUACCGCAUGGUACAGCAAUUAAAGGAGUAAUCCGCUAUGAGAUGGACCCGCGUCGCAUUAGCUAGUUGGUGAGGUAACGGCUCACCAAGGCGACGAUGCGUAGCCGACCUGAGAGGGUGAUCGGCCACAUUGGGACUGAGACACGGCCCAGACUCCUACGGGAGGCAGCAGUGGGGAAUAUUGCACAAUGGGGGAAACCCUGAUGCAGCAACGCCGCGUGAGUGAUGACGGUCUUCGGAUUGUAAAACUCUGUCUUCAGGGACGAUAAUGACGGUACCUGAGGAGGAAGCCACGGCUAACUACGUGCCAGCCGCCGCGGUAA